UACGAAGGGGGCUAGCGUUGCUCGGAAUCACUGGGCGUAAAGCGCACGUAGGCGGAUUGUUAAGUCAGGGGUGAAAUCCUGGAGCUCAACUCCAGAACUGCCUUUGAUACUGGCGAUCUUGAGUCCGGGAGAGGUGAGUGGAACUGCGAGUGUAGAGGUGAAAUUCGUAGAUAUCAGGAGGAACACCGGUGGCGAAGGCGGCUACCUGGCCUAAGACUGACGCUGAGGUGCGAAAGCGUGGGGAGCGAACGGG
rnacentral:rRNA from 1 species